rnacentral:lncRNA from 10 species
GGGCUUCUCUCCUUGGGACCCAGGAUCCGGUCACCCUGGGCCCAAAGGUGUGGUGUGGACGAGGUGCUCAACCCACCCAGUCUCUUCAGGGCCAAAAGGGGAAAAGGGGGACCCCCCCCAAGCCCCCCAUCCCCGCUCCCCAGCCUCCCCCGAACAAAACACAGAGAACAUCAAAUGAGGCGACUGAGGCGGCAGCGGUCGUAACAGGCUGCGUUUAGUGGUUCUUUUUUUUUUUUUAUGUACAAGAAAAAUGAAUUUUUUUGUUUUUUCAUCUUUUGUGUUUUUGUUUGUUUUUUAUUACUUUUAAAGCUUCUCCCUCCCCACUCCCAAAAAGUGCAUUUUUAUCAGUUUUUUUUUUUUUUAAAUCUCCCACACUUUAUAAAGACUCUCAAUACAGUCUCUGGAAUGUCUAUCUGUCUGUGCUCUGUACCCUGAGGGCGCCGCCCCGCCCCCCAUUCACCAGGCCUGGCCCCUCCAAAGUCCAAGGCACCUCGAUUCUGGGCCUGGGGUGGGGUGGGGGGCGGGACCUGGGCAUCGGAUCCUGGUCCACAGCCUCCAGGCAGCCCCGGCGAGGGAUGGGGGUCUCCCUGGCCCCCUCCACCCCCUGGGCCCGGCCCCCCCCCCCCCCCCCCGUAAAUCUAUGUAUUUAAUGCGAGCUAGUCUUAACUCUGAGGUUGUAGCUCCUGGGGCACCCCCAGCCUCCAGGCCCCUGACCCGUCCUGCGCCAGCCACCCACCACCCCCCCCCCCCCACCUCCAGGAAGGCUGCUUCAACUUAAAUAACUUUUUAAAAUAAAACUGCAAAUAUAAAUAUCUUUCUUUCUCAAAAAAUAGGAUUUUUGCUUUUUUUGUUGGUUUUUAAUAUUUUUUUUUCUUCUGUUUUUCCUUUCAUUCUCUCUGACUGCAUGGCCACAAUGGUGGGGGGGCAGACUUUGGUAUCGCCCGCUCGAGCCUGCCUGGCUGCAGGUCCACACCCAUGCCAGGCCGGGCCUGCUCCGGCAUUUUACAUUCACUGGUUUAUAAUUUUUUUUUUUCAUUUUUAAAAACUUUUUUGACUUUUUUUUUUUUUCCUUAAUCUCAAAAGGCGGGGGGCGUCGGGGGGCAGAGGCAGGUAGCAGCAACAGCUAGUAGCAAAGAUGCUUCUCUCUCUCUCCUGGGCCCGGCAGGCUGGGGGGCACUGCAGACGGGGGCUCCGGCCCGGCCACCUCCCCGGCCCCCGGGCGCCCCCGCCUGAAGCCCCCCAACCCCAGCCUGGACCUCACUCCCGCUCUCUUGCACACACGCACACACGCGUCCACGCAACUUCACCAUGAGAAUGGAAAUAACAAUUUCGCAUUGUUUUUCUUUUUUUUUUUUCUCUUUUUUUUUUUGUACCAGGCAGUUAAAAAAAAAACACCCCAAAAAAAGAAAACACAAAAAACCCCAAACAACCAAACAAAAAAGCUUUGAGCUGUGUCCUUUCAUAUGGAGUCAACACGACCCUCCUCAAAUAUCAUUUUUUUUUGUUUGUUUGUUUCCUGAAACGCGAGAAUUCAGCAGGUAUCUUUGGCAACACUUUAUCACGACCUUAAUUUAAAGAAUAAAAAUAAAAUCGAUUCACGUCUAUAUACAGUAUGUGAUUGCGCGGAGUCUGGGGAGGGCGGGGCUGGGCUGGGGGGGUCCCGGCUCUGGGCCCAUGCAGAGGCUGUGGCCCCCAGGACGGGCGGGUAGUUAAGGCAAAGUGGGCGGGCAGGACAGGCGAAGCUGAGUGCGGAGCUAGGAACGAGGGUUUAGUGCAAUCCCCGAGGUCUGUGUAAGUGUCGCGGUGGGCCGCAGCCCUUGUUCCUACGGAAGUCCCAGAGGGCUCCACCCCCCAAGUCCGGUCGCCCCCACUGGCUAGGACGACAGCUGUGAUUUUAGAGUUGGUUUUAUUGCGAGGGGGUGCAUGGAUAGGGGAAGGUGGAAAGAGGGCUCACCCCUCAGGGG